AAAUGUUUUUAAAGGCCCUGAUUGACUGGACUGGUCCAUAGAAAAUGAAAUGAUUUUGCUAGUUGGCUGGUCAGAGAGAGAGUAGAUGGUUGUGAUAUCUACCUGGUGGUUCUCAGAUUCUGGCUGAUGGAUAAACUUUGCUGGAAUCAUCUGAGGAGCCUAUGAAAAAGUCAUGCCCAGCCCUCACCUGAGAUCUUUUGAAGCAGGAUCUCUAAAGAAAAAAAUAGAGAAGAGAGAGAGAUGUUGCUCUCUCUUUGCCAUGUGAGGACGCAGUGAGAAGGUGAGAAGGUGGCUGUCGCUAUCCGCAAGCCAGGAAGAGAACCCUCAACAAGAACUGAAUCAGCUGGCACCUUGACCUUGGACUACCCAGCCUCCAGAACUGUGAGAAAUAAAUGUCUGCUGUUUAAGCCACCCAGUCUAUGCAGCAGCCUGAACAGGCUAACACCGAUAAGAUACAAAGUGAUUGGAGAAGGUCCUUUAGAUUGGGAGCUCAAGGAAGGACUGUCUCCUCCAGAAGUGACAUUUGAGCUGAGUUUUUCAAGGGAUCUAAUGUAUUGCAGCCGAUCCUUGAACGAGAGGAAGAUGGAGACCUGGACAGGAGGUGUGACCAUUCAUUUCAAGAUUGACAAACUGGCAACGAUUCACAACAUUUACACGUAUAUACUGAAGAAUUUUAACAACUGUACCUAUGAUACCUUUCAUAGAAUAUGCUUCAGAAAAAUUCAGAUUUUUUCAAUGGAGUUUUUGCUUUCAAUGGCCUUCUACAUUAGGACUGAAGCUUUCAAUCACAAGUCCUUUGGGACAGAUCAUGAACUAAAAGUCUAGAACAAAUGACAAGCCACCCAAGGACACAUAGGUCCUGUUCUCUGAAAAAUGACAAGAGAAAGUCACCAAAGGAACGUGGUCUGUGUGUCUCCUUGAAUUGGCUCAGCCAUGGUUUCCUAUCCUGACAACACUCCAGGAAGACCGUGGGGCCGAACCGCAUUUUUAAAGGCUUCAGAGGGAGUUUUUGGUCCUCAUUGAACUUGGUCGUGGCCUCCACGGUGUUUAGCCUGCCCUGCCCACAGACCCGCUGCGGUGGCUGUUCCCAGCCCUCGUGUUACUGGCAGAUGUGGGCUGACAGCGUGCUGCCUCGAGCCUGGCCUCCCACACCAUGCACGCUGGCCCUGUCGCCACUGAGAAAUACCAGCUACUCGCGCGCACACUGGCUCACCAGGCCGGCCCCGCGCACGUGCUCUGCAUCCCACUCACAUUGCGGUACCUCUGCCGCUCCCGCAAAAUGUGGGAGACACGUUGCCACGAGCAUUGUGGUCACAUGCUCUGGCUGCCACAACGUAGUACAGGCACACCUGGUUUUAUUGUGCUUCACCUUAUGGGCUUCGCAGAUGUUGUAUUUUUGUUAUUACAAAUUGUAGCAACCCUGCAUCCAGCAAGUCUGUUGGUGCCAUUUUUCUUUCGAACAGCACGGGCUCACUUCGUGUCUCUGUGUCACAUUUUGGCUCAGGCUCACUUUCAAGCUGCCGGGACUCAGAGCCCAUGCCUGGUGGACUUAUUGUCCAGCCUGCCCACGGAGCAGCAUUCUACAAGGGCUGAUAACUGCUGGGAUCAUACAAGCAACGGUGAAUUUGAUUCAAUCCUGAAUUCCACGGCAGAGGGCUCUGGGGAGAGCUACUAACCUGUCUUAAUGGAAGAGGACAAAGAAAGGCCACCUUUGGAUUUGAGAGGUCACGCACAGCUCAGGCAGCAUGAAAUUUACCGAGUUUGCUGCCGGCUGAAGCCAUUUUCUCAAAAUGACCAUCUCUCUCAGGAGAGAUAUUAUGCUAAUAUUGUUAGAAGCUCAGAGGUUAGGUAAUAAAACCAUUUACCUUUGCUGUUUUGUCAACUUUGGGUUUUGUUUUGUUUUAGUGGUUGUUUAAAACAAGAGGGAAAAAAAUCACGGAAGAACAAAGAAACAUCGAAUUUAGAAGACUAAAUAAAAGAAAGCGAGGGAAGUAGAGAGACAGCGUGGAAGACAAAGAGCAGAGUAAAUACAGAGAUGAACAAAAGAACCGGGUGGAGUGAAAGGCAAAGAAAAUUUAGGUCCUGCCUCCUGCCUUUUUCAUUUGAAGAAAGCUUGGGUAUGAGCUUGUCACUUUCCUGACCCAUAAAAAUCGUCAGUGACCUUGUUUCUUCUUUCCUCUGAGCCUGAAACAGGCAUUGAGGGAUAAUCUCAGAAAGUUUUAAAUUGCCUGAGCACAGCGCCGAGGCUGUCCACAGACUACUGGGAGUCUGGCACUGCUCAGCAGAGGAUGCAGACACAGAAAGAAUCAAUCUCUGGAUCUUGUACCUUUCGUUGGCCCAUGCUGGCUUCCCUCCUCCCUCUCCUACCAUCUCCUGGAAAAGCUUUCAGCUGAAUCCUUCAUGCUCGCUCUCUUGGAUAAACAGCUGCAUGCAAUCCCUUGCUCUUCAGGGGACAGAGAUUUGGCCUUGCAU